rnacentral:rRNA from 1 species
UACGAAGGGGGCUAGCGUUGUUCGGAAUUACUGGGCGUAAAGCGCACGUAGGCGGAUUGUUAAGUCAGGGGUGAAAUCCCGGGGCUCAACCUCGGAACUGCUUUUGAUACUGGCAAUCUGGAGUCCGGAAGAGGUGGGUGGAAUUCCUAGUGUAGAGGUGAAAUUCGUAGAUAUUAGGAAGAACACCAGUGGCGAAGGCGGCCCACUGGUCCGGUACUGACGCUGAGGUUCGAAAGCGUGGGGAGCAAACAGG